rnacentral:rRNA from 1 species
UAGCUUUAAGGUUUUUAUUUAAGGUCCUACCUGCCCGGUGAGAUAUUUAACGGCCGCAGUACUUUGACUGUGCUAAGGUAGCAUAAUAAAUUGGCUUUUAAUUAAAGUCGGGAAUGAAAGGAGAGUCGGAAAAAAACUGUCUUAUAUUGUUUUAUAUUAAUUUAAUUUUUUGAGUGAAAAUGCUCAUAAUUUUUUUUAUUAGACGAGAAGACCCUAAGAGUUAUAAUUAAAGUAAUUAUUUUACUUUUCAUUUUUGUUGGGGCAACAAAGACUGGAUAAAACCGUCAUAGAAAAUGUUUACAAAACCAAAAUGUUUAAUAAGAAAUAAACUACCUUAGGGAUAACAGCAUAAUUAAUUUUUAGAUUGUGACCUCGAUGUUGGAUUAAGGACUUUAUUUACUAGCCGUAAAUAAAGAUAGUUCUGUUCGAACUUCUUACCUU